AUUAAUUUGCGUUAGGGAUUGCAGCGGAAAGCCCACAGCGACUGGAAGGAGCGAGGACUUGAAGCGAAAAGCCCGGCACAAA
rnacentral:ncRNA from 1 species